rnacentral:tRNA from 1 species
AUUUUGUUAGUCUAAAAAAGACGUUGAUUUGUGGAAUCAAAAAUUAAUUACUUCACAAAAUU